GGAUUUAAUGUUGAGCGUAUCUGGGAGAUACAAGCUCAUGAAACUGUAGAGUUAUGGACAAUAAAUUGUUCUCACGUUUCAGGCGAAGGCACUGCAUCCUUUGGUUGGAUGAUAAAUGGAAUUCUGGUGCUAGGAUAAAUGGACUGGUUGGUUUCCUCUAAGAUGGAUAUUUUGCAGCCACAAACCAGAGAAAAAGGUGGUAAAUGUUGGCACAAAAUGAAGGUCAUGUGAUUGCUAAGGAUCCGUCCGAACCACACGAAGAUUCGUGAAGUGUUGUUGCCCCUUCAGGCUACCUGAUGUUGGGCCGAGAGCCUUGGACGAAGAUAGGUCAUCACCAUGAACGAGUCAACAUGUGUCUUUGCUAGAGUGG